rnacentral:rRNA from 1 species
GGCUCAUGACGAACGCUGGCGGCGUGCCUAAUACAUGCAAGUCGAACGAACUCUGGUAUUGAUUGGUGCUUGCAUCAUGAUUUACAUUUGAGUGAGUGGCGAACUGGUGAGUAACACGUGGGAAACCUGCCCAGAAGCGGGGGAUAACACCUGGAAACAGAUGCUAAUACCGCAUAACAACUUGGACCGCAUGGUCCGAGCUUGAAAGAUGGCUUCGGCUAUCACUUUUGGAUGGUCCCGCGGCGUAUUAGCUAGAUGGUGGGGUAACGGCUCACCAUGGCAAUGAUACGUAGCCGACCUGAGAGGGUAAUCGGCCACAUUGGGACUGAGACACGGCCCAAACUCCUACGGGAGGCAGCAGUAGGGAAUCUUCCACAAUGGACGAAAGUCUGAUGGAGCAACGCCGCGUGAGUGAAGAAGGGUUUCGGCUCGUAAAACUCUGUUGUUAAAGAAGAACAUAUCUGAGAGUAACUGUUCAGGUAUUGACGGUAUUUAACCAGAAAGCCACGGCUAACUACGUGCCAGCAGCCGCGGUAAUACGUAUGUGGCAAGCGUUGUCCGGAUUUAUUGGGCGUAAAGCGAGCGCAGGCGGUUUUUUAAGUCUGAUGUGAAAGCCUUCGGCUCAACCGAAGAAGUGCAUCGGAAACUGGGAAACUUGAGUGCAGAAAAGGACAGUGGAACUCCAUGUGUAGCGGUGAAAUGCGUAGAUAUAUGGAAGAACACCCGUGGCGAAGGCGGCUGUCUGGUCUGUAACUGACGCUGAGGCUCGAAAGUAUGGGUAGCAAACAGGAUUAGAUACCCUGGUAGUCCAUACCGUAAACGAUGAAUGCUAAGUGUUGGAGGGUUUCCGCCCUUCAGUGCUGCAGCUAACGCAUUAAGCAUUCCGCCUGGGGAGUACGGCCGCAAGGCUGAAACUCAAAGGAAUUGACGGGGGCCCGCACAAGCGGUGGAGCAUGUGGUUUAAUUCGAAGCUACGCGAAGAACCUUACCAGGUCUUGACAUACUAUGCAAAUCUAAGAGAUUAGACGUUCCCUUCGGGGACAUGGAUACAGGUGGUGCAUGGUUGUCGUCAGCUCGUGUCGUGAGAUGUUGGGUUAAGUCCCGCAACGAGCGCAACCCUUAUUAUCAGUUGCCAGCAUUAAGUUGGGCACUCUGGUGAGACUGCCGGUGACAAACCGGAGGAAGGUGGGGAUGACGUCAAAUCAUCAUGCCCCUUAUGACCUGGGCUACACACGUGCUACAAUGGAUGGUACAACGAGUUGCGAACUCGCGAGAGUAAGCUAAUCUCUUAAAGCCAUUCUCAGUUCGGAUUGUAGGCUGCAACUCGCCUACAUGAAGUCGGAAUCGCUAGUAAUCGCGGAUCAGCAUGCCGCGGUGAAUACGUUCCCGGGCCUUGUACACACCGCCCGUCACACCAUGAGAGUUUGUAACACCCAAAGUCGGUGGGGUAACCUUUUAGGAACCAGCCGCCUAAGGUGGGACAGAUG